CCCAGGGUGUAUUUAGCCUCUGUGUUUCCUCCCUUCUGCCUUUUGCCAGUGUUCUUGUGUUUUUUGUUGGAUUUCUUUGGAUUGAGUUUUCUUGGACAAUUUAUACCCUCUUUUGGCCUCCACUGGAUCCAUUUCUCACUGACUCCUGAGACCAAAUUAAGGAAGGACCACCUCCUGAUGGUGACCCCAACUUCACUCAGAGUUCUUUUAAUGGGGACAAACAUCAUCACAGAGGAGACUGGAGGAAGCUACACCAGUACAUGGAUGAAAUCCAAGUCAACUCUCCCAGUAAGUUUAGGUGACCACAUCCACCAGGGGAUUCUGAUAUUCCUUUUUACUCUCCGGAGACGUUAGAUCCAACUCAUAUUGGACACCUUCAGCCUUGGGGAGAAAACCAAAUUAAUCUGUGGGAAAAAAGGAGCGUUUUUCUGCUCUGAGAGGACACCAGCAGCCUGUGAUGUGGAGGUCUGCUGUCUCUUCUUCCGCUCCUCCUAUUCUCUCUCUCCUCCUGCCGGCAGCUGAUACCUCCUCCUCCUCUGAACGCACAGGGACUCUGCGCGUCUCCGCUCGGCGCGCCGGAGAUCCUUUCAGCUUCACACCCACAAGUGAGGAAUGUUAAUGAGAAGGCGGAAAGAGACGAAAAGAGCCGAGGGGCAACCAGUUUGUGACAAGAGUGCACACUUCACCUCCAGCUAAUAAGACCUGUGGUCUGAUGGAUAUCGUGUGGCGUUACAUUGGAGUCUCAACAGACCAAAACAUUGACGGAUGUGAAAUGAUUCAAAACACCAAAGGGUCAGUGUGCUGUAUAGAGGCAGUUUUUAUAUGCUUGUGUGAAGUACAACCAAUAUAUUUUAGUUAUUGAUACCAAAGGUCAGUCUGCUUUAUUUCAAUUGUCUCCAGUUGCACAUUUUUACAUGUAAACACCAUCAUAGCUCAUAGCCUAUGUAACUGUCUCUAUUGGUGAGUUUAUAGAGACUGUAUGCCCUUUAUAGUUUUGUUACAAUUCAUUAUUUUGUAGUAAUAUUUUAUAACUCUAACAGAAGUCAUAGGUCACAGGACUGUCAGCAUUAUGAUGUUAAUUGUCAGGAGUAGUAUUUGGUAUGUUUUCUUGCUUUGUUGACAGUUUUCAUUUAUUGUUUUAUUUUGUAUUCUUUGCCUUGCGUGCCUUAUUGUAUUCCAUUCAUGUGUGGUUGUUCUGUGGUUGUUUUCUGUUACAUGUUCCAAGUGUUUCCUGUUUUAAUUCAUAGUCCUUUUUCCCAGUGUGUCAUGUCCAGUUUUAUUGCAAUCCAUUUGUUUCACCUGUGUAUCCUUGUCUCAUCUGUGUUUUGAUUGUCAGUGUAUUAAGUGCCUUUGUGCUUUCCCCUCCUGAUCAGUUUGUUGCGUCUUAUUUCCUAGUGUUCAUUUGGCUCCUCUGUAGUUUUUGUAAAUUUUUCUAUUUAUGGACAUUUGUGAUGCUGUACUUGAACGUUUUCGUUUGAACAUUUUUUCCCUUUUAUUUAUUAAAAAUAAUUUCUGAUA